GUGGGCGUCCAUUUGGGCCUUGGGAUGUGCAUCUCGUCAGUGGGUGGCAGGCCUAUGCAGAGAAAUACAGCCCGCGAUACGCCUAGGGAGUGUGUAGGCGUAUUCUGUGCGGCCCAUCGACCGCGACUGCCCCCCGCCACAGCACAGGAAGGAGAAUCUCGUCGUCCCCUAUCCCAAAACUUUACCCCGUGGAGAAGCCCCAGUCCUCUCUGCCCUCUUCUCUUUCCCCCCGGGCGACGGCGGCGGGGUGCUAUCCGGCGAGAUGUCCACCAACGGCGGCGACUGCGCCGGGUUCAGGCUCUCCGGAGCACUCGUCCUCCUCCACUCCGGCGACCAAAUCACCCGGAUCCCGCGUCAUCUUCCACUCCAGCGGCGACUCAACUCAAGUUUGCAGAACACCGGAUCUGCCCAGGGCAAGGCCCUCGUCCACGAAUGUGGCCGGGAAAAAUCAUUUUCUUCAUUUUUUUGUUUGUUUCGUUGACCACUUUCCCAGGAGUCACAGACUUGAGCAACGUUGAUGGUCAAGUGUGUCGUGGCGGCGAGGCCACAUCCCUUGUCAGAAACGCUGGUUGCGGAGCUACAAGUGGCUGGACCAGAAGGUGUUUCAGAUUAAAAUUUCCUCAUCCAAAAAACCAUUAAUUCUGAACAUAGUAUGUGUCGGCCUUGUUCUUGGUUAGAUUUUGAAUACACCCACAUUUCUUGGUUAGCUUAAGUUUUUUUAUAUGUGAUCUACCAGAUUCUCAAUGGUCUGAUGAUGAAUUAUCAUUCAUGUCAUCAAGUUUGAAGAUUCUUUGUAAAUGAUGUAUAUUUCUAGAUCAUACACUCCUGUUGAAUAUGAAUAGGUAAUUUGUGAGGCAUUGGGGUGAUCAUUUCGUUCUUGCAUGCCAGCCUGUUAAAAUUCACAUUUCUGCGAGCAGUUGACACCGCCAUGAGUGUAAAUGAUUUCAUGUCAUGUUUAAUCUAUGGAAGUGUUUAUGACACCGCCAUGAGUGUGAGCUUUUAUGCAUUGGUGUCUCUUAGUUAGGUAAGGCAAAUGUUAACAGGAAGAAUGCGCUGGAAUUGUCAAUGAGACCAAUAUGUCGAGAAGGGAGAUGACCCAGUAGUCUAAUGAUUUCUGUAACGGAUUGUUUGAAUCAUCUUCAAACUUCACUUGCAUCUAUUUUUGUUUCUCUAUGUGACUAUUACUUUUGUAACUGUUUGUUUAUUUUUUUGGGUACAUUGCUGACCCAAUUGUUCAGGAUUAGGAUCGGCAAUGCUCCUGAGGAGAGGGAGAUGAACCCCAACAGGAAAACAUCGCUACAAUUGUCUGUGCGUGCUUAUGGAGAGAAGGGUGUAUCAACCGUGGUGUUGUUGGACACCAGAACUGUCUUUUAUGCCCUUCCCUGAAUUGUUGUUUGUUGUACUUUGUUAAAUCAUAGGGCUGUUAUGUAAAAUGCAUGUUAAAUCUUGGGGCUGUUACUUUUAGUUUACAUAACUGCUAGUUCGAAACUGUGGCAUUGAUAUCAUGCCACUACUUAGCUUUGGUAUGCAGAAACUGAAUUCAAAUGUUGUUGUGGCUGCUGUUAACUACA